rnacentral:rRNA from 1 species
GAUGAACGCUGGCGGCGUGCCUAAUACAUGCAAGUCGAGCGAAUGGAUUAAGAGCUUGCUCUUAUGAAGUUAGCGGCGGACGGGUGAGUAACACGUGGGUAACCUGCCCAUAAGACUGGGAUAACUCCGGGAAGCCGGGGCUAAUACCGGAUAACAUUUUGAACCGCAUGGUUCGAAAUUGAAAGGCGGCUUCGGCUGUCACUUAUGGAUGGACCCGCGUCGCAUUAGCUAGUUGGUGAGGUAACGGCUCACCAAGGCAACGAUGCGUAGCCGACCGGAGAGGGUGAUCGGCCCAACUGGGACUGAGACACGGCCCAGACUCCUACGGGAGGCAGCAGUAGGGAAUCUUCCGCAAUGGACGAAAGUCUGACGGAGCAACGCCGCGUGAGUGAUGAAGGCUUUCGGGUCGUAAAACUCUGUUGUUAGGGAAGAACAAGUGCUAGUUGAAUAAGCUGGCACCUUGACGGUACCUAACCAGAAAGCCACGGCUAACUACGUGCCAGCCGCCGCAGUAA